GUUCACCGUGUACCCGUCCCCUCAGGUCUCCACCUCUGUGGUUGAGCCAUACAACAGUGUCCUCUCCACCCACUCCCUCCUUGAGCACACCGAUGUCGCUGUCCUGCUCGACAAUGAGGCCAUCUAUGACAUCUGCCGCCGCUCCCUCGACAUUGAGCGCCCAACCUACACCAACCUCAACAGGCUUGUGUCCCAGGUACUGCCCUGCAUCUUUCCUUGCAGCGCUAUGUACUCCAGUUAUUUGCUGUAAGAUCAAUGUAAUGUGCAAUUUGUCUUGACAUCAUGUGGCUAAUGCUAAUGUGCUGCAGGUCAUCUCCUCACUGACUGCCUCCCUGAGGUUCGAUGGUGCUCUGAAUGUGGAUGUCAACGAGUUCCAAACCAACCUGGUGCCCUACCCGAGGAUCCACUUCAUGCUUUCCUCCUACGCCCCGGUGAUCUCGGCCGAGAAGGCCUACCACGAGCAGCUCUCCGUGGCGGAGAUCACCAACAGCGCCUUCGAGCCGUCCUCCAUGAUGGCCAAGUGCGACCCGCGCCACGGCAAGUACAUGGCGUGCUGCCUGAUGUACCGCGGCGACGUGGUCCCCAAGGACGUGAACGCCGCGGUGGCCACCAUCAAGACGAAGCGCACCAUCCAGUUCGUGGACUGGUGCCCCACGGGGUUCAAGUGCGGCAUCAACUACCAGCCGCCCAGCGUCGUCCCGGGGGGAGACCUGGCCAAGGUGCAGAGGGCCGUGUGCAUGAUCUCCAACUCCACCAGCGUCGUCGAGGUGUUCUCCCGCAUCGACAUCAAGUUCGACCUCAUGUACUCCAAGCG
rnacentral:lncRNA from 1 species